rnacentral:rRNA from 1 species
AACGAACGCUGGCGGCAUGCCUAACACAUGCAAGUCGAACGCUCACCUUCGGGUGGGAGUGGCGCACGGGUGCGUAACGCGUGGGAAUCUGCCCUCGGGUUCGGGAUAACAGUUGGAAACGCCUGCUAAUACCGGAUGAUGACUUCGGUCCAAAGAUUUAUCGCCCAGGGAUGAGCCCGCGUAGGAUUAGCUUGUUGGUGAGGUAAGAGCUCACAAAGGCGCCGCUCGUUAGCGGGUCUGAGAGGAUGAUCAGCGACACUGGGACUGAGACACGGACCAGACUCCUACGGGGGGCAGCAGUGGGGAAUAUUGGAAAAGGGGCGAAAGCCUGAUCCGGCAAGGCCGCGUGAGUGAUGAAGGCCUUAGGGUUGUAAAGCUCUUUUACCCGGGAUGAUAAUGACAGUACCGGGAGAAUAAGCCCCGGCUAACUCCGUGCCAGCCGCCGCAGUAAAAC